rnacentral:rRNA from 1 species
AUGGAGACGGCCCGCCGGAGACAUGUUCGAGCCGCCGGCCCUGCCUUCACGUCAGCCAUCCUUGUGAUCUUCGCCUUCACAUGUGUGGAAUCUAAACCGGCGCGGGCACGAACGCCAGAGCAUGCGUCUGGACCGGCGUCUGCACCUGCCCAUGCGCCUGCGUCUGGGCCUGAUCAGGCGGCAGCUUCUCACGCUCUGUUCAACUACAAGGAGAAAGACCCAACUGGGCCCGACAAAUGGGCCAAGCUGAAUAAGGGAUGGGCUGCCUGUGGCGACGGCAAGAAGCAGUCCCCGAUCAACAUCCGCAAGGUGAAAAUCAACAAGGACAUGGGCCCUCUAGAGCAGACCUACAAGUUAAGCGCCUGCACACUGGAAAACCGCGGGCACGACUUCAUCCUGCAAUGGAAAGGUGGGAAUGGCAAGUUGACGAUCGAGAAGAAGGAUUACGUGCUCCAGCAGGUGCACUGGCACGUGCCCUCGGAGCACACCGCCAAUGGCACCAGGUUCGACAUGGAGUUGCACAUGGUUCACGAGGACUCCAGCAAGGCGCGCGCCGUCGUCUCCGUGCUCUACUCCACCAAAGAGGCCGGCGACCCCGACAAGACGCUGACUGAUCUGGCGCCAUAUUUCAAGAGGCUCGCCGGCAAGUACAACGAGAACGAGGAUGUGAAGGAGCCCGUUGAUCCGUCCGUCUGGGUCGACAAGGCCUCGAGCUACUACAGAUACGACGGCUCCCUCACCACUCCGCCUUGCACCGAAGGGGUUCUUUGGAACAUCCUGAGCAAGGUGAAACACGUAUCAAAGGAGCAUAUCAAGAUGAUGGAGUCGGUGAGCGAGAAACCUGAGCCAAAUGCCCGGCCGGCUCAGAAAAUCCAUGGUCGAGUUGUUCGCUACUUCGAAGGCAAAGAAGCAAAAGAUUGA